rnacentral:rRNA from 1 species
UACGUAGGGUGCAAGCGUUAAUCGGAAUUACUGGGCGUAAAGCGUGCGCAGGCGGUGAUGUAAGACAGGUGUGAAAUCCCCGGGCUUAACCUGGGAACUGCGUUUGAAACUGGGAGACUUGAGUGUGGCAGAGGGGGGUGGAAUUCCACGUGUAGCAGUGAAAUGCGUAGAUAUGUGGAGGAACACCAAUGGCGAAGGCAGCCCCCUGGGUCAACACUGACGCUCAUGCACGAAAGCGUGGGGAGCAAACAGG